GAGAGUGCAUAAUGAGUGAGCUUUUUAAUUUCUCUUUUUUUUUGUUUUUGGGGUUUGAGUCUGUGAGAGAGUUUUGUGUGUGUGAGGUUGUUAUGAAUUGUGGAAUGCAUUUAAUGGGGAGUCAGUGAGGGAAGAGAGAGACGAAUCUUUUUUUUUUGUUUUUUUUUUGUUUUUUAGUGAGUAGCCAACUGUUCUUACCGUUGGAGGUAAGUGAGUAGGGUUCCAACUGUCAAAUAUUAAUGUUAAUCUUAUUUUAUUUUAUGUGAAAACAAUUAC
rnacentral:lncRNA from 1 species